rnacentral:piRNA from 1 species
UGGACCGUCCCUCCUGAUAAUACUCAGGGCA